rnacentral:rRNA from 1 species
UUGCUCUUCAACGAGGAAUGCCUAGUAAGCGUACGUCAUCAGCGUGCGUUGAUUACGUCCCUGCCCUUUGUACACACCGCCCGUCGCUACUACCGAUUGAAUGGCUGAGUGAGGCCUNCGGACUGGCCCAGGGAGGUCGGCAACGACCACCCNAGGGCCGGAAAGUUGGUCAAACUCCGUCAUUUAGAGGAAGUAAAAGUCGUAACAAGGUUUCCGUAGGUGAACCUGCGGAAGGAUCAUUACCUAGAGUUGUAGGCUUUGCCUGCUAUCUCUUACCCAUGUCUUUUAAGUACCUUACGUUUCCUCGGCGGGUCCGCCCGCCGAUUGGACAAUUUAAACCAUUUGCAGUUGCAAUCAGCGUCUGAAAAAACUUAAUAGUUACAACUUUCAACAACGGAUCUCUUGGUUCUGGCAUCGAUGAAGAACGCAGCGAAAUGCGAUAAGUAGUGUGAAUUGCAGAAUUCAGUGAAUCAUCGAAUCUUUGAACGCACAUUGCGCCCCUUGGUAUUCCAUGGGGCAUGCCUGUUCGAGCGUCAUUUGUACCUUCAAGCUCUGCUUGGUGUUGGGUGUUUGUCUCGCCUCUGCGUGUAGACUCGCCUCAAAACAAUUGGCAGCCGGCGUAUUGAUUUCGGAGCGCAGUACAUCUCGCGCUUUGCACUCAUAACGACGACGUCCAAAAGUACAUUUUUACACUCUUGACCUCGGAUCAGGUAGGGAUACCCGCUGAACUUAAGCAUAUCAAUAAGCGGAGGA